CAGCUGAUGCAGCCAUGCCGCGUGUAUGAAGAAGGCCUUCGGGUUGUAAAGUACUUUCAGCGAGGAGGAAGGGGUAUGUGGUUAAUAACCACAUUGAUUGACGUUACUCGCAGAAGAAGCACCGGCUAACUCCGUGCCAGCAGCCGCGGUAAUACGGAGGGUGCAAGCGUUAAU
rnacentral:rRNA from 1 species